AGUUACAAAGAUAAGUAGUGUUGUAUCAAUUAUAAUAAUAUAUUACAUAUGAAUAUCUUGGUUAUUUUAAUUGGUUAAUUUAAAGGUUAAAAUAUGCGAGUAAAUUUCAUUUCAAAAUUUUUUAUUUCAAAUUUUGUUACAGGCUGAAGAGACAAGCCAGGUGAUAUGCAAGUUGAUCAACAGUAACCUGGACCCGGUCCUAAAAAAACAGCUGGAAGGGUUUCUCCUGCAGUUUCCUCAUCACAACGCAAGAUUCUCUGCUCUUGGAUAUUUUCCGAUCCACAACGAAACCCUCACAGCGAUGGCUGGAGCGGUGACAACGUACCUAGUGAUAAUGAUCCAAUUCCAGGACAAACCACCAUCCACCUAGAGCAUCAUGGGGUUUAGAACCACGCCACUAUACGUAAACUUAUAUUUAUUAGUUAUUGUUUACGCGAUGUAAGCACACACAAUUUUAUAAACACCUGUGAUGACUACUUUGUUUGAUCUUUACUGCUAGAAAACUUAGUUAAUUAUUUCUCUGAGUAAGAAUUCAUUGUGUAAUAUUACAUAGUUACUGAUAUAUG